rnacentral:rRNA from 1 species
GAUGAGCAUGCGUCCCAUUAGCUUGUUGGUAAGGUAACGGCUUACCAAGGCAACGAUGGGUAGGGGUCCUGAGAGGGAGAUCCCCCACACUGGUACUGAGACACGGACCAGACUCCUACGGGAGGCAGCAGUGAGGAAUAUUGGUCAAUGGGCGCAAGCCUGAACCAGCCAUGCCGCGUGCAGGAUGACGGUCCUAUGGAUUGUAAACUGCUUUUGUACAGGAAGAAACAUCUCUACGUGUAGAGACUUGACGGUACUGUAAGAAUAAGGAUCGGCUAACUCCGUGCCAGCAGCCGCGGUAAUACGGAGGAUCCAAGCGUUAUCCGGAAUCAUUGGGUUUAAAGGGUCCGUAGGCGGUUUUGUAAGUCAGUGGUGAAAGCCCAUCGCUCAACGGUGGAACGGCCAUUGAUACUGCAAGACUUGAAUUAUUAGGAAGUAACUAGAAUAUGUAGUGUAGCGGUGAAAUGCUUAGAUAUUACAUGGAAUACCAAU